rnacentral:rRNA from 1 species
CAGCAGCCACGGGAAUACAGAGGGUGCGAGCGUUAAUCGGAUUUACUGGGCGUAAAGCGUGCGUAGGCGGCUUCUUAAGUCGGAUGUGAAAUCCCUGAGCUUAACUUAGGAAUUGCAUUCGAUACUGGGAAGCUAGAGUAUGGGAGAGGAUGGUAGAAUUCCAGGUGUAGCGGUGAAAUGCGUAGAGAUCUGGAGGAAUACCGAUGGCGAAGGCAGCCAUCUGGCCUAAUACUGACGCUGAGGUACGAAAGCAUGGGGAGCAAACAGGAUUAGAUACCCAAGUAGUCCCUGUCUCUUAUAC